rnacentral:rRNA from 1 species
GGCUUCNCACAUGCUACAAUGGCCGGUACAAAGGGCUGCGAUGCCGUGAGGUGGAGCGAAUCCUUUCAAAGCCGGUCUCAGUUCGGAUCGGGGUCUGCAACUCGACCCCGUGAAGUCGGAGUCGCUAGUAAUCGCAGAUCAGCAACGCUGCGGUGAAUACGUUCCCGGGCCUUGUACACACCGCCCGUCACGUCAUGAAAGUCGGUAACACCCGAAGCCGGUGGCCUAACCCUUGGGAGGGAGCCGUCGAAGGUGGGAUCGGCGAUUGGGACGAAGUCG